rnacentral:tRNA from 1 species
UGGGGGGUCGUCUAGCGGUAGGACUCCGGACUUUGGAUCCGGCGACCCAGGUUCGAAUCCUGGCCCCCCAGCCA